CGACCCCUAAGGCGAGGCCGAAAGGCGUAGUCGAUGGGAAACAGGUUAAUAUUCCUGUACUUGGUGUUACUGCGAAGGGGGGACGGAGAAGGCUAUGUUGGCCGGGCGACGGUUGUCCCGGUUUAAGCGUGUAGGCUGGUUUUCCAGGCAAAUCCGGAAAAUCAAGGCUGAGGCGUGAUGACGAGGCACUACGGUGCUGAAGCAACAAAUGCCCUGCUUCCAGGAAAAGCCUCUAAGCAUCAGGUAACAUCAAAUCGUACCCCAAACCGACACAGGUGGUCAGGUAGAGAAUACCAAGGCGCUUGAGAGAACUCGGGUGAAGGAACUAGGCAAAAUGGUGCCGUAACUUCGGGAGAAGGCACGCUGAUAUGUAGGUGAAGUCCCUCGCGGAUGGAGCUGAAAUCAGUCGAAGAUACCAGCUGGCUGCAACUGUUUAUUAAAAACACAGCACUGUGCAAACACGAAAGUGGACGUAUACGGUGUGACGCCUGCCCGGUGCCGGAAGGUUAAUUGAUGGGGUCAGCGCAANAUACCAGCUGGCUGCAACUGUUUAUUAAAAACACAGCACUGUGCAAACACGAAAGUGGACGUAUACGGUGUGACGCCUGCCCGGUGCCGGAAGGUUAAUUGAUGGGGUUAGCGGUAACGCGAAGCUCUUGAUCGAAGCCCCGGUAAACGGCGGCCGUAACUAUAACGGUCCUAAGGUAGCGAAAUUCCUUGUCGGGUAAGUUCCGACCUGCACGAAUGGCGUAAUGAUGGCCAGGCUGUCUCCACCCGAGACUCAGUGAAAUUGAACUCGCUGUGAAGAUGCAGUGUACCCGCGGCAAGACGGAAAGACCCCGUGAACCUUUACUAUAGCUUGACACUGAACAUUGAGCCUUGAUGUGUAGGAUAGGUGGGAGGCUUUGAAGUGUGGACGCCAGUCUGCAUGGAGCCGACCUUGAAAUACCACCCUUUAAUGUUUGAUGUUCUAACGUUGACCCGUGAUCCGGGUUGCGGACAGUGUCUGGUGGGUAGUUUGACUGGGGCGGUCUCCUCCUAAAGAGUAACGGAGGAGCACGAAGGUUGGCUAAUCCUGGUCGGACAUCAGGAGGUUAGUGCAAUGGCAUAAGCCAGCUUGACUGCGAGCGUGACGGCGCGAGCAGGUGCGAAAGCAGGUCAUAGUGAUCCGGUGGUUCUGAAUGGAAGGGCCAUCGCUCAACGGAUAAAAGGUACUCCGGGGAUAACAGGCUGAUACCGCCCAAGAGUUCAUAUCGACGGCGGUGUUUGGCACCUCGAUGUCGGCUCAUCACAUCCUGGGGCUGAAGUAGGUCCCAAGGGUAUGGCUGUUCGCCAUUUAAAGUGGUACGCGAGCUGGGUUUAGAACGUCGUGAGACAGUUCGGUCCCUAUCUGCCGUGGGCGCUGGAGAA
rnacentral:rRNA from 1 species